GGACCACUAGCUCAGAAGGUCAGAGUAAUCGGCUCAUAACCGAUCGGUCCGGGGUUCGAGUCCCUGGUGGUCCA
rnacentral:tRNA from 1 species